rnacentral:rRNA from 1 species
UACGUAGGGUGCAAGCGUUGUCCGGAAUUAUUGGGCGUAAAGAGCUCGUAGGCGGUUUGUUGCGUCGGCUGUGAAAUCCCGAGGCUCAACCUCGGGUCUGCAGUCGAUACGAGCAAACUAGAGUGUUGCAGGGGAGACUGGAAUUCCUGGUGUAGCGGUGAAAUGCGCAGAUAUCGUAAGGAAGACCAGUGGCGAAGGCGG